GUGUAGUAGUAGCUACUACUACUACAUGUGUAGUAGUAGUAGCUACUACUACUACACAUGUAGUAGCUACUACUACUACACAUGUAGUAGUACACAUGUAGUAGUAGUAGCUACUACUACAUGU